CUCUUUUGGAUUUUAAUUUAAAGUUUGGCCUGCUCUAUGAUAUUUAUUAAAUGGCUGCAAUAAUUUAAUUGUACUAAGGUAGCAUAAUCAUUUGUUUUUUAAUUGGAAACUAGUAUGAAUGGUUUGAUGAAAAGAUUUUUUUAUUAAUUUGAUUUUUUGAAUUUUAUUUUGAGUUAAAAAUCUUAAAUAUUUUUAUGGGACGAGAAGACCCUUUAGAAUUUUAUUUUAAUUUAUUUAUUUAUUUUUGUUUUAUUAUUAUUUAUUUAUUAUUUAAAUUUGGUUGGGGUGAUUGUUGAAUUUUUAUAACUUUUUCUUUUUUUUUCAUUAAUUUUUGUUUUUUUGAUCCAUUAUUUGAUUAUAAGAUUAAAUUACCUAAGGGAUAACAGCGUUAUUUAUUUGGAGAGUUCUUAUUGAUAAUUAAGUUUGCGA
rnacentral:rRNA from 1 species